GAUACACAAUCGACCCCCAGGUUAAGGUACAUACAUACUCAUCGCGAUUGGAGUUGCGGCUAUCUAUUUGGCGCUGCAAAUGCUUCGUCGUUACUCUCUAUCCUUUUUCUUCUUUCGGAUAGAAAGUGUUGCGAAGCAUUUGUAACGUCAAAUGGAUCCCGAAUAUCUCGAGACAAACCAGUGUGAUUUUAUUGAUCAAUGCCCACAGAAUGCUAAUCUACGUAAAUAACAGACAGAAAAUGGAACAAAAUACAUAAGCAUAGUUAUAUAAAGUACAGAAAGGUCUCAUAUCUUUAGUAGCGCGUGCCAAAUUUAAUUCGUACGAAUGAUAUGGCGAGAUAUGCAAAUGCGCAUUAUUAUACAGUUGGUAACUAGCAUCUGGUUGCAUAAAAGUUGGCGGGAGAAUGGACACGCUGGAUAAACGGACGGUAAGAUAUCAUAACCAAGAUGUCAUAACUAAAAUGGUGAUUGAAUGUUCACGUGUCUCGUGUUUAAUCCAAAUAUCUCUCGUUUUAAUAUUUUAAUUCGAAUUAUUCAAAUUAUAAUUCAAGUUAUAGUUCCUCUCCUAAUCAAAGUUCUUAUUAAAUACAAUAAAAAUAUUUAAUUGUACAAUAUUACUACACGAUAAAGCACAACUCUUUUGCUCUUUAUAUUGACGAAAAACGGAAAUAAAAUGAAAUAUGCACACGCUACGUAAGAAAAUCGACCAAAAAGGCAAUUAAACUUUUUUCUUUUUAUUCUCUCUCUCUCGGUAUCAUCUCGGAACAAUACAAUACAAAACAAAACUAAAAAUUACUCGACGAUUAAAUCAUUCUACUUGCGAAAAAGAAAAUACGUAUGUAUAAAAUCGAAAGAUAAAGUAAGCAUUGUUUUUAAUGAAAAAUAUAUGCAAGAAAUAAUUCGUUAGAUAUAUAUGCCUAUUUGACUUCAGCUUACAAAGAUUAAUUAGAUAAAAAUCUUAGAUAAAGAACGUUCUCUCACAGAUAAAACAGUGCAGUGACCAGUAAUUGAUAUGAAUCAAGCGAAAUUAGUUUCUUCAAAUGAAGGGACAGAUGUCGCCACUGUAUUAUUGAAUGGAUCCAAUGUAACGGAUUAUUAUUGGUGGAGCACACCUCCACAACGAGGAGGGGAGUGCAGAGCUGUUUUCUUAGCAAAUAUUUUCAUUAAAGCCCCACGGAGGGAGUCUCGAAUAUCUGAAUAGCAAUGGCGAUAUUCGCGGAAGAAAAGAGAAAAGGAGGAGGUGAUGGAAAAAA